UACAGAGGUCCCGAGCGUUGUUCGGAUUCAUUGGGCGUAAAGGGUGCGUAGGCGGUGCACUAAGUUUGGUGUGAAAUCCUGGGGCUUAACCCCAGAAUUGCACUGAAUACUGGUGUGCUGGAGGACUGGAGAGGAGAUUGGAAUUCACGGUGUAGCAGUGAAAUGCGUAGGUAUCGUGAGGAACACCAGUGGCGAAGGCGACUACCUGGCCUGUUCUUGACGCUGAGGCGCGAAAGCUAGGGGAGCAAACGGG
rnacentral:rRNA from 1 species